rnacentral:rRNA from 1 species
CCUACGGGAGGCAGCAGUGAGGAAUAUUGGUCAAUGGCCGAGAGGCUGAACCAGCCAAGUCGCGUGAGGGAAGACGGCCCUACGGGUUGUAAACCUCUUUUGUCGGGGAGCAAAGCGCGCCACGUGUGGUUCAUUGAGCGUACCCGGAGAAAAAGCAUCGGCUAACUCCGUGCCCGCCGCCGCGGUAAUACGGAGGAUGCGAGCGUUAUCCGGAUUUAUUGGGUUUAAGGGGUGCGCAGGCGGGGGUGCAAGUCAGCGGUCAAAUUGCGGGGCUCAACCCCGUACUGCCGUUGAAACUGCAGCCCUUGAGUGCGCGAGAAGUAUGCGGAAUGCGUGGUGUAGCGGUGAAAUGCAUAGAUAUCACGCAGAACCCCGAUUGCGAAGGCAGCAUACCGGCGCGCAACUGACGCUGAUGCACGAAAGCGUGGGUAUCGAACAGGAUUAGAUACCCCUGUAGUC